rnacentral:rRNA from 1 species
GUAGGGAAUAUUGGACAAUGGGCGCAAGCCUGAUCCAGCCAUGCCGCGUGUGUGAAGAAGGCCUUUUGGUUGUAAAGCACUUUAAGCGAGGAGGAGGCUCCUUUAGUUAAUACCUAAAGAGAGUGGACGUUACUCGCAGAAUAAGCACCGGCUAACUCUGUGCCAGCAGCCGCGGUAAUACAGAGGGUGCGAGCGUUAAUCGGAUUUACUGGGCGUAAAGCGUGCGUAGGCGGCUUUUUAAGUCGGAUGUGAAAUCCCUGAGCUUAACUUAGGAAUUGCAUUCGAUACUGGAAAGCUAGAGUAUGGGAGAGGAUGGUAGAAUUCCAGGUGUAGCGGUGAAAUGCGUAGAGAUCUGGAGGAAUACCGAUGGCGAAGGCAGCCAUCUGGCCUAAUACUGACGCUGAGGUACGAAAGCAUGGGGAGCAAACAGGAUUAGAAACCCGUGUAGUCC